AGUGACUGAGCGGACUGGCAAAAUGGGGGGCCACCCUAAACACGUCCUUAACGAAGACGCAGCAGGUUAGACUUAGAGAUUACAGCACCCUGGAAGUCAGAAAAAUGAAAUGUUGAAGUUUUCUGUUUCAGCUUGUUUGCAAUGCAGGCAUGUAGUUUGCACUAAUCCGGAGCGGCUGCCUGCAAC